CUCUGGCGACAGCACUAUACCCUUUGUGACAUACCUACAACUGUUGCUUCGAGCGGGUAGGCCGUCCCCUGAAAAGGACGCCUCCCGGCCCGGACCGGACCCCCUGUGGGGCCGGACUCGGCGCCCGCCGGAGGAUAACCAAACGCUAUUUUAACGACGUUUCUUCUGAGUGGCAUAAGCAAAAUAAUCAAAACUUUUAACAACGGAUCUCUUGGUUCUGGCAUCGAUGAAGAACGCAGCGAAAUGCGAUAAGUAAUGUGAAUUGCAGAAUUCAGUGAAUCAUCGAAUCUUUGAACGCACAUUGCGCCCGCCAGCAUUCUGGCGGGCAUGCCUGUUCGAGCGUCAUUUCAACCCUCAAGCUCUGCUUGGUGUUGGGGCUCUACGGUCGACGUAGGCCCUCAAAGGUAGUGGCGGACCCUCCCGGAGCCUCCUUUGCGUAGUAACAUUUCGUCUCGCACUGGGAUCCGGAGGGACUCUUGCCGUAAAACCCCCCAAUUUUUCAAGGUUGACCUCGGAUCAGGUAGGAAUACCCGCUGAACUUAAGCAUAUCAAUAAGCGGAGGAA
rnacentral:rRNA from 1 species